rnacentral:rRNA from 1 species
CGUAGGAGGCGAGCGUUGUCCGGAAUCACUGGGUGUAAAGCGCGUGUAGGCGGCCUGCCAAGUCUGCUGUGAAAGCGCCUGGCUUAACCGGGCGAGGUCGGUGGAAACUGGCGGGCUGGAGGACGGUAGAGGGGGGUGGAAUUCCCGGUGUAGUGGUGAAAUGCGUAGAGAUCGGGAGGAACACCAGUGGCGAAGGCGGCCCCCUGGGCCGGCCCUGACGCUGAGACGCGAAGGCGCGGGGAGCGAACGGGAUUAGAUACCCCGGUAGUCCGCGCAGUAAACGAUGUAUGCUAGGUGUGGGGGGUAUCGAGCCCCUCCGUGCCGACGGUAACCCAAUAAGCAUACCACCUGGGGAGUACGGCCGCAAGGUUA